GGGGAUGUGGCUCAAGCGGUAGUGCGCUCGCCUGGCAUGCUCGCCUAGCGAGCGGCCUGGGUUCCAUCCUCAGCACCACA
rnacentral:tRNA from 1 species